rnacentral:rRNA from 1 species
GUGCUGUGAGAUGUUGGGUUAGUCCGCAACGAGCGCAACCCUUGAUCCUUAGUUGCCAGCAUUCAAGUGUGGAGCACUCUUAUGGAAGACUUGCCGGUAUUGAACCGGAGGAAGGUGGGGAUGACGUCCAGUCCUCAUGGGCCCUUAUGUCCAGGGCUACACACGUGCUACAAUGGCCGGUACAAAGGGUAGCGAGACCGCAAGGUUGAGCGAAUCCCAAAAAGCUGUCUCAGUUCGAGAUUGGAUGUCUGCAACUCGANCUCCAUGAAGUUGGAAUCGCUGUAUNUCUGCGGAUCAGCAUGCCGCGGUGAAUACGUUCCCGGGCCUUGU